rnacentral:rRNA from 1 species
UACAGAGGUCUCAAGCGUUGUUCGGAUUCAUUGGGCGUAAAGGGCGCGUAGGCGGCACUGUUAGUCAGGCGUGAAAUUCCUGGGCUCAACCUGGGGACUGCGCUUGAUACGGCAGAGCUUGAGGAUGGAAGAGGGUCGCGGAAUUCCCAGUGUAGAGGUGAAAUUCGUAGAUAUUGGGAAGAACACCGGUGGCGAAGGCGGCCUUCUGGACGGAUACUGACGCUGAGACGCGAAAGCGUGGGGAGCAAACAGG